AUAAAUUAGCAGCCUCAUUGGCUAGUACAAGAUGUAUAAACCUUUCAAGAACACAGAAAUCUUUGCAUUGAGAGGAGCUAGGGAAGAAAAGAGCAACAAAGGGAGUACAAAAUCAAAAAGACAUGAAAGGAAAUGAUGAUAGGAUUCUCAAAGGUGUGCCAAUCACAUAUCAGGGAGACAUCUCAAGCCUUGGCUCGAAGCAGAAACCAGUAAAGAGCUGAAGGGGAAACCUCUUUGUCACUGGACAUUUCUGUGACCACCUCCACUGUUUCUGGUUCACGUCAAAAACAAGAAGGGCAGG
rnacentral:misc_RNA from 1 species